rnacentral:lncRNA from 1 species
GAAUAGAACCAUAGGAUAUCAAAUCAGAAAGGACACGCAACAACCAUCGAGUCCAACUCCUGGAUCCAUAAAGUACUACUAAAAAAUUACACCUUUAGGAAGGCUGGGGGAUAUCUUAGUCCUCUGUCACAGUAUCAUGAAUGUCUCCACGAGAAAGCUGUUUAAUCCUUACAGGAAAGAAUUGCUCUGAAGGCAGAGUGAACAUUACCAGAACCGAUCAUGGUGACAUCCCUUCUCACAGUCAGCUCCAGGGGAAAGGUCCUCCCAGCACCCGGGAGUGAAAUCCUAGAAAGUAUCAAAACACACUUGUUUGAAAAAUAAAUAGAUGUACAUAAAGCCAGAAAAGAAAACAGUGUAUUCUUAAUGCUCCAUUAUUAACGGUACUCAGUAAGGGAUUUUCUGCUUUGCUGGAGCAUGUAACAGGCUUAAAUAAGAAUCCCUAUCAGAACAUAUCUUUGUAAUUAUGCAGAUAAUAUUUUUGCUACUGUAAUGACAACAUAAACGCUCACAAACUGCAUUGGUUACACAUCUCUGAAAUACAGAGAUGUCUCUGAGCUUGCACUUCUGUGAAGACCACAAACACAUCACCUCGACCAACACUUCAGUCUGCAGGCAUUUCAUAGCGUCAUCCUUUGUUUUGAGUGAGUUCAGCUCCUGGUUCCUGGCACGGGUCCCCAUGGGGGUUGUGCCAGGGAUGGAUGCUGAUUUCCUAGCCCUAUGCUAUUGUUAACUGUUUCCAGCCUGCAUCAAUAGCACAUCCCAGCAAGAGCUCAGGUGCAUCUGGUGCUCAGCUGGCACUUCUCAGAAAGAAAACCUUCAGGAGCUCCCAACAGACACAGUGGUGUUUUUGAGCUAAAUUCUCCUGUUUUCACCAUGUUUGUUUGUAAGAAGUCUCUCAAAAGAGAGCUAGCCAAACACUGCACUGUCACUCUUUAUCUCCCCAAAAUAAUGAUACCACUCAGAAGGGGGGGGGGGGAAGCAGAUGAAAUAUUCUGUUUGUUUUCUUUUCUCAGUGACUGCUCAUGUUUGUGAUCUCAGCAACCAUCGUGGAAUACAAACACAGCACUGACAUGCCUGCAAGUUGAGGGUGUUUUAUUGCUCUGGCAAUGGGACCGAACCCUUCCACAGCCAGUCUUGUAAACAGAUACAUCCCUUGCUGAAGAGCUGAGAUGUCCUGAUUACCAACACUUCUGCCAUGUCUCACAGCUUCCUAAACGCCAACUGGAAACCAUCUUGGUAUUACACUGUGUCAUCGCGGUAUAAGAACAAAUAAAGUCAAGUUUAUUGAGUU